rnacentral:rRNA from 1 species
AGUCCUGAUAUUGAGCUACUUUCCCAGGAAGCUCCCUUCCAAGUAUCAUUGCCGCUGUAGCGUUUAACAACCAAGUUCGGUAUGGAUUGGUGUGGGUCCACUACGCUAUAAAUAUCA